AAAUUGAAGAGUUUGAUCAUGGCUCAGAUUGAACGCUGGCGGCAGGCCUAACACAUGCAAGUCGAACGGUAACAGGAAGCAGCUUGCUGCUUUGCUGACGAGUGGCGGACGGGUGAGUAAUGUCUGGGAAACUGCCUGAUGGAGGGGGGAUAACUACUGGAAACGGUGGCUAAUACCGCAUAACGUCGCAAGACCAAAGAGGGGGACCUUCGGGCCUCUUGCCAUCAGAUGUGCCCAGAUGGGAUUAGCUAGUUGGUGAGGUAACGGCUCACCAAGGCGACGAUCCCUAGCUGGUCUGAGAGGAUGACCAGCCACACUGGAACUGAGACACGGUCCAGACUCCUACGGGAGGCAGCAGUGGGGAAUAUUGCACAAUGGGCGCAAGCCUGAUGCAGCCAUGCCGCGUGUAUGAAGAAGGCCUUCGGGUUGUAAAAGUACUUUCAGCGGGGAGGAAGGUGUUGUGGUUAAUAACCGCGGCAAUUGACGUUACCCGCAGAAGAAGCACCGGCUAACUCCGUGCCAGCAGCCGCGGUAAUACGGAGGGUGCAAGCGUUAAUCGGAAUUACUGGGCGUAAAGCGCACGCAGGCGGUCUGUCAAGUCGGAUGUGAAAUCCCCGGGCUCAACCUGGGAACUGCAUUCGAAACUGGCAGGCUUGAGUCUUGUAGAGGGGGGUAGAAUUCCAGGUGUAGCGGUGAAAUGCGUAGAGAUCUGGAGGAAUACCGGUGGCGAAGGCGGCCCCCCUGGACAAAGACUGACGCUCAGGUGCGAAAGCGUGGGGAGCAAACAGGAUUAGAUACCCUGGUAGUCCACGCCGUAAACGAUGUCUACUUGGAGGUUGUGCCCUUGAGGCGUGGCUUCCGGAGCUAACGCGUUAAGUAGACCGCCUGGGGAGUACGGCCGCAAGGUUAAAACUCAAAUGAAUUGACGGGGGCCCGCACAAGCGGUGGAGCAUGUGGUUUAAUUCGAUGCAACGCGAAGAACCUUACCUGGUCUUGACAUCCACAGAAGAAUCCAGAGAUGGAUUUGUGCCUUCGGGAACUGUGAGACAGGUGCUGCAUGGCUGUCGUCAGCUCGUGUUGUGAAAUGUUGGGUUAAGUCCCGCAACGAGCGCAACCCUUAUCCUUUGUUGCCAGCGGUCCGGCCGGGAACUCAAAGGAGACUGCCAGUGAUAAACUGGAGGAAGGUGGGGAUGACGUCAAGUCAUCAUGGCCCUUACGACCAGGGCUACACACGUGCUACAAUGGCGCAUACAAAGAGAAGCGACCUCGCGAGAGCAAGCGGACCUCAUAAAGUGCGUCGUAGUCCGGAUUGGAGUCUGCAACUCGACUCCAUGAAGUCGGAAUCGCUAGUAAUCGUGGAUCAGAAUGCCACGGUGAAUACGUUCCCGGGCCUUGUACACACCGCCCGUCACACCAUGGGAGUGGGUUGCAAAAGAAGUAGGUAGCUUAACCUUCGGGAGGGCGCUUACCACUUUGUGAUUCAUGACUGGGGUGAAGUCGUAACAAGGUAACCGUAGGGGAACCUGCGGUUGGAUCACCUCCUUA
rnacentral:rRNA from 1 species